GCCGAGACGGUGCCAUUGCACUCCAGCCUGGGCAGCAGAGUGAGGGAUCUCAAAAAAUUAUAAUAAAAAAAUAAUAAUUCUAUUUUGAAUUGUGGUAAAAUAUGCAUAAAAUUUACUACCUUAACCACUUCUAAGUGGCAGUCGGAACAGGGGUUAAGGAGAGCCCUUGGGUUGGGUAAUGUAGAGUAUAUUCACAUUGCCAUGCAACCAAUCUCCAGAACUUUUUCAUCUGACAAAACCAAAACUCUAUAUCCACUAAGCAACUUCCCAUUUUCUCCCUUCCCCAUGUCCCUGGCAACCCCCGUUCUACUUUCUGUUUCUAUUAGUUUGCUUACUCAGUCUGGAUGCUUCACAUAAGUGAAAGAACACAGUAUUUGUCUUUUUCUAACUGGCUUAUUUCACUUAGCAUAAUGUCCUCAAUGUUCAUCCAUGUUGUAGCAUGUGUUAGAAUUUCCUUCCUUUUUAAGGCUGAAGAAUAUUUUAUUGUAUGUAUAUACCACAUUUUAUCAAUUCAUCUGCCUAUGGACAAUUAGGCUGCAUCCAUCUUUUGAUGAGUGUGAAUACCACUGCUAUAAAUAUCAGUGUACAAAUAUUUCUAUGAGACCUUGCUUUCAAUUAUUUUGGCUAUAUACCCAGAAGUGAUAUUGCUGGAUCAUUUGGUAAUUCUAUUUUUAAUUUUUUGAGAAACUGCCUGUCCUGUGCUGAGCAGGUCUAUAUAAACCUACCCGCAAAGGCCAAGGAACCUGAGAUACCAAAGAAAGAGGCUGACAAAUCCAGUUUCUCAGAAAGAAACAUUUAAUAGGCGUUUAUGAACAGAAGCCAAGUCAGGGAUGGCACCAAGAUAAGAUGGUGGAUCCCUGUGCCAUUACCCCCACCCCCCCGACCCAGGGCUUCUAUAGCAUAGGGGAAGGGUAAUGCGGGCUUCGGCAGGGAUGUGUAUGGCCAGACACGGUGGCUCACCCGAACUGUAACCCUCUUAUCUCAACUAGCUGACAUUAUUACUUCACAUCCAGUUCAAUUUAUAAAUUAAGAGAGGUGCCAUGGGCCGGGUACGGUGGCUCACGCCCGUAAU
rnacentral:lncRNA from 1 species